rnacentral:lncRNA from 1 species
UUUUUUUUUUUUUUUUUUUUGAGACAGGGUUUCUCUGUACAGUCCUGGCUGUCCUGGAACUCACUCUGUAGACCAGGCUGGCCUCGAACUCAGAAAUCCGCCUGCCUCUGCCUCCCGAGUGCUGGGAUUAAAGGCGUGCGCCACCACGCCCGGCUUUGACUUUGCUUUUAAGCCCUCCCCUUCCUCAGGGUGUUUCUUUGUUAGCCCUGGCUGUCCAGGAACUUAUUCUGAAGACCAGGCUGACCUCAAAUUCAGAGAUCUGCCUGCUUCUGCCUCUUGAGUCUUUUAACAUUUUAAGAAAUGUCUACUAAUCUUUUUUUAAAUUAUUAUUAUUUUUUAUUUUUAUUUCCAGACAGGGUUUCUCUGUGUAGCCCUGGCUGUCCUGGAACUCACUCUUUAAACCAGGUUGGCCUCAAACUCAGAAAUCCGCCUGCCUCUGCCUCCCAAGUGCUGGGAUUAAAGGCGUGCACCACCACUGCCCAGCAAUUUUUACUUAUUUUAGAUGGACUUUCUCACUGGUCACACUAGGGUAGUCUUGGUUGGCCAGGGAGCCCCAGGGAUGUGCCUGUGUCUGCCUCCCCAGUGCUGGGAUUAGACUGGCGUUUUAAACCUAGGUUUUAGGGCUAGAAGACAGGGCCUUACUGCAUCAUCCAGGUUGGACUCAAACACGUGGUAAUUCUGCCUUAGACUUCUUAAUGCUGGAACUAUAGACAUGAGCCGUUAUACAAGGUAGUUUAUUUUUAUUUAUUUAAUUAAAAAUUUACUUAUUUGGGUGUGUGUGUGUAAAAUAAUCAACCUGGGGAAUUCACUCUUCUCUUGAAAUUGCACUGUCUCUUGAGCCACAAAUGUUGCUGGUAGGUGGUGGCCUCUCCUGUAUCUGUUUAUCUGACAGGAAAAUUUUCAAUUUUUUUUUUUCCAUUUUAAGGAUCUUUACAGCAAUGAAAAGCCUUGGGUAGUUGGAAACAGUAUUGAUCUAGGUACUUUUCCUUUUUUUUUUUUUUUAAGAUUUAUUUAUUUUAUGUAUGUGAGUACACUGUUGCUGUCUUCAGACACACCAGAAGAGGGUAUUGGAUCCCAUUACAGAUGGUUGUGUGCUAUCAUGUGGUUGCUGGGAAUUGAACUCAGGACCUCUGGAAGAGCAGUCAAUGCUCUUAAUCACUGAGCUAUCUCUCCAGCCAGAUCUAGGUACUUUUAUUCAGCAUAAUGUAAUGUGGUUAUCAGUAGGUGAGCAAUGCUGAAAUGCAUGUGGGUCCAAACAUUACUCCUGUCCUGCUCCAGCCAAGGAAAUGUUGAUUUAUAUAACUGAAAUAGCCAGGGAAGUCAGGGUUUCCUUCCUGCUGCAGACAGCACUGGGGGCAUUUGUUCCCUGUGGGAUGUUGAGGGUAAGAAAUAAGGAACCUCUUUGGGAACUGGGAAAUGACUACUGUAUGGGGUGGAAACCUAACUAAUGAGGUGUUCUUUGUAAUGUCCAGUGUCUUGGCCUGCUCCUGCUUGCAACCCCACCCUUUGUGUGUAGUGCUAUAUCACUGAGUGUGGAUAGAUUCUUGUAAACUGGCCUAUAAAGGGUACAUGAGUACUUAAGGAAGACUUCUAGCCAUGCACAUGGUGAACACAAAUCAUUCUAGCACUUGGGAACUGAGGCAGGGGGAUUGUAAGUUCAGCCUUAGCAAUAUAAUGAGACUUAUUACUCUCUGUUCCCCUACC